UACGUAGGGGGCAAGCGUUAUCCGGAUUCAUUGGGCGUAAAGCGCGCGUAGGCGGCUUGUUAAGUCAGAUGUGAAAACCGGGGGCUCAACCCGCGGCCUGCAUCUGAAACUGGCAGGCUUGAGUCUGGUAGAGGAAAGUGGAAUUCCUGGUGUAGCGGUGAAAUGCGCAGAUAUCAGGAGGAACACCAGUGGCGAAGGCGGCUUUCUGGGCCACGACUGACGCUGAGGCGCGAAAGCUAGGGGAGCGAACAGG
rnacentral:rRNA from 1 species